GUGCGUAUAAUCCUUUCAAACGGC
rnacentral:siRNA from 1 species